GAAAGGGUUAUUCCAAGGAGAAUGGGCAACUCAUGCUCAAAAGACUUGAAUUCCCAGAUGGCUUUCAAGGAAGGGUUUUUCAAGGCAAAAUUUGGGGUGA